rnacentral:rRNA from 1 species
GAUGAACGCUGGCGGCGUGCCUAAUACAUGCAAGUCGAGCGAACAGACGAGGAGCUUGCUCCUCUGACGUUAGCGGCGGACGGGUGAGUAACACGUGGAUAACCUACCUAUAAGACUGGGAUAACUUCGGGAAACCGGAGCUAAUACCGGAUAAUAUAUUGAACCGCAUGGUUCAAUAGUGAAAGACGGUUUUGCUGUCACUUAUAGAUGGAUCCGCGCCGCAUUAGCUAGUUGGUAAGGUAACGGCUUACCAAGGCAACGAUGCGUAGCCGACCUGUGAGGGUGAUCGGCCACACUGGAACUGAGACACGGUCAAGACUCCUACGGGAGGCAGCAGUAGGGAAUCUGCCGCAAUGGGCGAAAGCUUGACGGAGCAACGCCGCGUGAGUGAUGAAGGUCUUCGGAUCGUAAAACUCUGUUAUUAGGGAAGAACAAAUGUGUAAGUAACUAUGCACGUCUUGACGGUACCUAAUCAGAAAGCCACGGCUAACUACGUG